rnacentral:lncRNA from 1 species
GUGAUAUUUUUCUUCAGAGUGGGGCUAUGCUUCGUCCUUGCAAGGCUAACACGGUGCUGUAUAGGUCAGAGAGAGAAGAGAAUUUGAAAUAAGUUAAUAUUUCAGGACUUUGGUUGCAUGACCUGGAUAUUUCUUAGCAAGACUUCAAAGAAAGGUCCUCUGUAACCAGUGGCAACAGGAGAUCCAGGAAUGACUAAAUCCUUGGAACGUCUCCUCACUUAUGCAAGCCUGCAAAUGGGAAGCAUCUACGUGGGCUCACAUGUAGAGCCAGAGAAAUGUGAGACCGGAAGGGCACUGGAUCGCCUCAUCCUUUCUCUGCACCAAUGCAGGAUCAAGGGUCCUUGGACCAUCUCUGACACAUGCUUGAAUCAUCCUUGGCUUCUCCAGCCUGCUCUAGUAUUCCUAACCGCUAGUACCUAA